GAGCCAUGGUGAGGAAAGAGCUGGCGACACCAUUACGCAGAGAUGAGCAGCUGAGAGAGGGGAGACAAAUAAGCUGACAGUUGCAUGAGAGAGUAAGCAGAAGUGCAAAAUACAGCAGUGGAAGUGCAGCAAUUAACAAGUAAGAACGCUAUGACACUCUCAGCCAAGAGAGUGCACAGCAAGUGUCAGAGACAGGAGAGUCUAAAGCCUUUAUACCAAUGCUGACUGGUCUACAUCUGAGGGGAAACUGCCUCAGCAACAUCUAUUAACUGGCCCUGCCUGCCUUUCUUUGUGUCUGGGGAAACCUUGCCUCUCUGCCAGGAAUAGGGAAGAGCUGCUGCUGAAGGAGGAAUAGCCCAUCGUGACAUGCAGUGGGGUGAGGCAGAUGCUGCAGUUGGAGAUCCCACCAGUUUUCCAGAACUUUUAAAACGCCUAAAAAGAAAUUUAAGGGGCGUAAUUGCGGAUAUUGAGGCAAUAGAAAUUUUUUUAUAAGUUUUUAUUGUUUAUUUGGUUCACAUUUUAAUUUCAGAAA